rnacentral:rRNA from 1 species
UACGUAGGGGUCAAGCGUUGUCCGGAUUUAUUGGGCGUAAAGAGCGUGUAGGCGGCCUGAAAGGUCAGCUGUGAAAACUCGAGGCUCAACCUCGAGACGUCGGUUGAAACCAUCUGGCUAGAGUCCGGAAGAGGAGUGUGGAAUUCCCGGUGUAGCGGUGAAAUGCUCAGAUAUCGGGAAGAACACCAAUGGCGAAGGCAGCUCGCUGGGACGGUACUGACGCUGAGACGCGAAAGCGUGGGGAGCAAACGGG